rnacentral:misc_RNA from 1 species
GAUGAAGAACGUAUCGAAAUGCGAUACGUAAUGUGAAUUGCAGAAUUCUGUGAAUCAUCGAAUCUUUGAACGCACAUUGCGCCCGCCAGCACUCUGGCGGGCAUGCCUGUUCGAGCGUCAUUUCAACCAUCAAGCCCCAGGCUUGCGUUGGAGCCCUGCGGCUGCCGCAGCCUCCUAAAAGCAGUGGCGGGCUCGCUAUCACACCGAGUGCAGUAGAUUACUCUUCGCUCAGGGCGUGCAGCGGGUUCCGGCCGUGAAACCCCCUACUUUUAAAGGUUGACCUCGGAUCAGGUAGGAAUACCCGCUGAACUUAAGCAUAUCAAUAAGCGGAGGA